rnacentral:rRNA from 1 species
CAGCAGCCGCGGUAAUACGGAGGAUCCAAGCGUUAUCCGGAAUCAUUGGGUUUAAAGGGCCCGUAGGCGGGUCUAUAAGUCAGUGGUGAAAGUUUGCGGCUCAACCGUAAAAUUGCCAUUGAUACUGUAGGUCUUGAAUUAUUGUGAAGUGGUUAGAAUGUGUAGUGUAGCGGUGAAAUGCAUAGAUAUUACACAGAAUACCGAUUGCGAAGGCAGAUCACUAACAAUUAAUUGACGCUAAGGGACGAAAGCGUGGGUAGCGAACAGGAUUAGAUACCCUGGUAGUCCACGCCGUAAACGAUGGUUACUAGCUGUUCGGACUUCGGUCUGAGUGGCUAAGCGAAAGUGAUAAGUAACCCACCUGGGGAGUACGUUCGCAAGAAUGAAACUCAAAGGAAUUGACGGGGGCCCGCACAAGCGGUGGAGCAUGUGGUUUAAUUCGAUGAUACGCGAGGAACCUUACCAGGGCUUAAAUGUAGAUUGACAGGUUUAGAGAUAGACUUUCCUUCGGGCAAUUUACAAGGUGCUGCAUGGUUGUCGUCAGCUCGUGCCGUGAGGUGUCAGGUUAAGUCCUAUAACGAGCGCAACCCCUGUUGUUAGUUGCCAGCGAGUCAUGUCCGGAACUCUAACAAGACUGCCAGUGCAAACUGUGAGGAAGGUGGGGAUGACGUCAAAUCAUCACGGCCCUUACGUCCUGGGCCACACACGUGCUACAAUGGUAGGUACAG